AUUGAACGCUGGCGGCGUGCUUUACACAUGCAAGUCGAACGGUAACAGGCCUUCGGGUGCUGACGAGUGGCGAACGGGUGAGUAAUGCAUCGGAACGUGCCCAGAGGUGGGGGAUAACGCAGCGAAAGCUGUGCUAAUACCGCAUGUGAUCUGAGGAUGAAAGCGGGGGACCAAGCAGCAAUGUUUGGCCUCGCGCCUCUGGAGCGGCCGAUGUCAGAUUAGGUAGUUGGUGGGGUAAAGGCCUACCAAGCCGACGAUCUGUAGCUGGUCUGAGAGGACGACCAGCCACACUGGGACUGAGACACGGCCCAGACUCCUACGGGAGGCAGCAGUGGGGAAUUUUGGACAAUGGGCGCAAGCCUGAUCCAGCAAUGCCGCGUGCGGGAAGAAGGCCUUCGGGUUGUAAACCGCUUUUGUACGGAACGAAAAGGCUCUGGCUAAUACCUGGGGCUGAUGACGGUACCGUAAGAAUAAGCACCGGCUAACUACGUG
rnacentral:rRNA from 1 species